GGGAGCACAGAGCAAUCUGUGUGACUGCGUACCUUUUGUAUAAUGGGUCAGCGACUUAUAUUCUGUAGCAAGGUUAACCGAAUAGGGGAGCCGAAGGGAAACCGAGUCUUAACUGGGCGUUAAGUUGCAGGGUAUAGACCCGAAACCCGGUGAUCUAGCCAUGGGCAGGUUGAAGGUUGGGUAACACUAACUGGAGGACCGAACCGACUAAUGUUGAAAAAUUAGCGGAUGACUUGUGGCUGGGGGUGAAAGGCCAAUCAAACCGGGAGAUAGCUGGUUCUCCCCGAAAGCUAUUUAGGUAGCGCCUCGUGAAUUCAUCUCCGGGGGUAGAGCACUGUUUCGGCAAGGGGGUCAUCCCGACUUACCAACCCGAUGCAAACUGCGAAUACCGGAGAAUGUUAUCACGGGAGACACACGGCGGGUGCUAACGUCCGUCGUGAAGAGGGAAACAACCCAGACCGCCAGCUAAGGUCCCAAAGUCAUGGUUAAGUGGGAAACGAUGUGGGAAGGCCCAGACAGCCAGGAUGUUGGCUUAGAAGCAGCCAUCAUUUAAAGAAAGCGUAAUAGCUCACUGGUCGAGUCGGCCUGCGCGGAAGAUGUAACGGGGCUAAACCAUGCACCGAAGCUGCGGCAGCGACACUGUGUGUUGUUGGGUAGGGGAGCGUUCUGUAAGCCUGUGAAGGUGUGCUGUGAGGCAUGCUGGAGGUAUCAGAAGUGCGAAUGCUGACAUAAGUAACGAUAAAGCGGGUGAAAAGCCCGCUCGCCGGAAGACCAAGGGUUCCUGUCCAACGUUAAUCGGGGCAGGGUGAGUCGACCCCUAAGGCGAGGCCGAAAGGCGUAGUCGAUGGGAAACAGGUUAAUAUUCCUGUACUUGGUGUUACUGCGAAGGGGGGACGGAGAAGGCUAUGUUGGCCGGGCGACGGUUGUCCCGGUUUAAGCGUGUAGGCUGGUUUUCCAGGCAAAUCCGGAAAAUCAAGGCUGAGGCGUGAUGACGAGGCACUACGGUGCUGAAGCAACAAAUGCCCUGCUUCCAGGAAAAGCCUCUAAGCAUCAGGUAACAUCAAAUCGUACCCCAAACCGACACAGGUGGUCAGGUAGAGAAUACCAAGGCGCUUGAGAGAACUCGGGUGAAGGAACUAGGCAAAAUGGUGCCGUAACUUCGGGAGAAGGCACGCUGAUAUGUAGGUGAAGUCCCUCGCGGAUGGAGCUGAAAUCAGUCGAAGAUACCAGCUGGCUGCAACUGUUUAUUAAAAACACAGCACUGUGCAAACACGAAAGUGGACGUAUACGGUGUGACGCCUGCCCGGUGCCGGAAGGUUAAUUGAUGGGGUCAGCGCAAGCGAAGCUCUUGAUCGAAGCCCCGGUAAACGGCGGCCGUAACUAUAACGGUCCUAAGGUAGCGAAAUUCCUUGUCGGGUAAGUUCCGACCUGCACGAAUGGCGUAAUGAUGGCCAGGCUGUCUCCACCCGAGACUCAGUGAAAUUGAACUCGCUGUGAAGAUGCAGUGUACCCGCGGCAAGACGGAAAGACCCCGUGAACCUUUACUAUAGCUUGACACUGAACAUUGAGCCUUGAUGUGUAGGAUAGGUGGGAGGCUUUGAAGUGUGGACGCCAGUCUGCAUGGAGCCGACCUUGAAAUACCACCCUUUAAUGUUUGAUGUUCUAACGUGGACCCGUGAUCCGGGUUGCGGACAGUGUCUGGUGGGUAGUUUGACUGGGGCGGUCUCCUCCUAAAGAGUAACGGAGGAGCACGAAGGUUGGCUAAUCCUGGUCGGACAUCAGGAGGUUAGUGCAAUGGCAUAAGCCAGCUUGACUGCGAGCGUGACGGCGCGAGCAGGUGCGAAAGCAGGUCAUAGUGAUCCGGUGGUUCUGAAUGGAAGGGCCAUCGCUCAACGGAUAAAAGGUACUCCGGGGAUAACAGGCUGAUACCGCCCAAGAGUUCAUAUCGACGGCGGUGUUUGGCACCUCGAUGUCGGCUCAUCACAUCCUGGGGCUGAAGUAGGUCCCAAGGGUAUGGCUGUUCGCCAUUUAAAGUGGUACGCGAGCUGGGUUUAGAACGUCGUGAGACAGUUCGGUCCCUAUCUGCCGUGGGCGCUGGAGAACUGAGGGGGGCUGCUCCUAGUACGAGAGGACCGGAGUGGACGCAUCACUGGUGUUCGGGUUGUCAUGCCAAUGGCACUGCCCGGUAGCUAAAUGCGGAAGAGAUAAGUGCUGAAAGCAUCUAAGCACGAAACUUGCCCCGAGAUGAGUUCUCCCUGACCCUUUAAGGGUCCUGAAGGAACGUUGAAGACGACGACGUUGAUAGGCCGGGUGUGUAAGCGCAGCGAUGCGUUGAGCUAACCGGUACUAAUGAACCGUGAGGCUUAACCUUACAACGCCGAAGGUGUUU
rnacentral:rRNA from 1 species